GAGAAAUCUUGUUUGCCAGUAAAAGGUAUGUGUAUGCAUGGAAGCACUGUGUCUGCAACUCUCCCCUUUGUAAUUAUAUCAUUAGAGGUGCUAUGUGUACGGGCUUUCCUGUUAUUCCUUUUUGGGGUGGGUGAUCAGUGGGUUUCCACUGGAGUAUGAAGAUAAUAUCCUCCAACUAGACCAAGCCUUUGAUGCUGAGAUCACACUCGGACCGUGCGUGCCGCCGCCGGGUACCGGAGCGGGGCCGGACGGAUCAGCGUGGGCUGAAUGCCCUCUACCGGGGGAACCCGGAGGUUACCCACAGCCGCACCAUCGGAGGGGGCCGUGGGAAUAAAAUCAACGGUGCUCUUCGCAGCUCUGAUGCUUCUGAGAGGGAAGGGGGAAAGCGUGCCAGGCUCUUCUUCAUCCUUGGUAAUUAAACGAGCAAGGAAAAAGAGACAGAUUAAUUGAUUGAACUGGUUCCAGGAGAAACCAUUAGUCCUGUUCCUCUUCUGCUCUAUAUGGUGUUUAAACAACUCUGAAAUGGAGCCCGGUGAAUCCUGCCAAACAUAUUUCUGUAAGCGUUGCUUUGAUUUUCAAAUGAAUUGUCUUCAUCUGCUUUUAUCCCCCUGUUGCCUUAGCUUUAUAUGAAAAUGUGUACAAUCUUCUUGCUUAUGAAAAAGAAAGAAAGAAAAAAGCUAAUAUGUUUCAAUAUGACUGAAGAUGAAUUUUGUUCCUGUGAGCUCAAGAGUUAUGUGGCAACAGGACCAAAAUAAUGUCAUGUGACAGACCAAUAAUCACUAAUGACAUUGUUCAAAUAUGCCACAGUGCAAAUGAAUAAUACUAUGCUGUGGAUCAAAUAUAGCAAAAUUAUUUAACUUUUAUCGCAAACAACAGAAACUCUGUUUUUAGAGGGGGGGGAAAAAAAAAAAAGGAAGAGAGAAACGUACCAAAUACUGCAGUUUCUGCCAGUUAUUUUAUUGAAACGAUUAAGAAUAUUUUUCUUUUAAAUUGCAUUCAGUUAAUGUGCAUUUAUAAAUGUGAUGUCAGUAAGAAUAGAGUGUAUUAGUCAAAUCUGUGUUUGGGGAAUAUGAAUAAUAUUUAUUAACCAUAAAAUCCCAUGAUAUUAAUAGAUAUACUAGCAUAUUUUUUUAAGUGUUUUGAAAAGAAGGAAGGAAGAAGAAAAAUCAUGAAGGAGUGACUUCUAAGUGAAUUUUACCAGAAAAAUCAUCAACAUUAAAGAAAUACAAUUUUUCAUCUGGAUCUAAUCUAAAGUUUCAUAAAAUAUUUCUGUUGAACAAUUAUUCAGUGAGAGGUUGAAUAAAUAUAGUGGUAAAAGCCACAGUGAAGUUUUCCUGAUGAUUUGAAAAAUAGGCAAAAAACUCACUUCUAUCUCCAUGAAUAAGAAAGAUUACUAAUUUAGUUUGUAUUAGUAUUCUACUUUUCUUUCUAAUUUCCUUUAUGGAACAUAUCAGAUUAUAUAAGACUGCAGAAGGGCUGAGAUUUUCAAAGUUACCUUUUGAAUUUAUUUUUUUUUAAUGAGCAGAUCUGAAGCUUAGAACAAUUCAUUUUCCUAAAUCACAAGUCCUUGGUUUGAUAAUGAGCGUGGGGAUUCCUAUUUCAGCCUGGAUAACUGUUCACCUCAAGAAUGUGCUGCAGAUCCUCUGCCCUCCCAGGAAGACCUACAUGUUUGGAGAAAGCACUGUGAUUUGAAAUCUGUGAGGAAGAACACAAAAGGCAGAUGAGGAUGUGUCAUCCCAGACACACCUGUUUGAGAAUGACAUAGCCAAAGAGAAGAAAGCCCAAGAGGAGAGUCCUGUGGUCAGUCCAUAACCAUCCAUCUCUGACACCUCUCCAUGUCUACUCUCAGCCCCCUCUCCACAUGGGUCCCUCCCACACCAUCCUUCCUGACUCCCUGUGGGCUUCCCACAGCCUGCAGCUCGCCCAGAACAACCCCAACACGGCUCCAUGCCAUGGGACACUGCUGGGCUCUGCUCACUAGAGGAUUCUCCUGCAGCUCCUCUGCUACCAGAACCUCACCAUGUAAGAGCAACACACCUUGGCACACACCUGGGCCUGGCCAUGGCAUUGGAGCUAUGUGAUGAAGCCAUCAGUUCUCCUAAGUGCUUAUUCACUAGCAAACCCAUGAAGUCUCUGGUGACACCCAACAGUCAGGUUUCUUCAAUUAAACAUUUUGAAGGUUUCUGAUUUGUAGCAAAUACAUGUUUAUUAAUAUCUUUUCAUAUUUAUCUCCAUAAGAUUGAAAAGAAGUAUUUUACUUGUUUUGUUUUUUCUUCUCUGAAGAAAAAUAAACAUAGAAGAUGUGUCUGUCUCCCUCUCCCCAAAUAAAUAAAUCUCUGUAUUUUUCACUGAAGGCCACCAUUGCCUGACCACCCAGCCCCACUGAUUGGCCUCAAGUGGGAAGGCAUUAUGGUAGCUGGCACUGUGUGGCAGGUGAGCAGAGAAGGUGUGGGUGCUCCAUUCCUGGAGGCAUUCAAGCCCAGGCUGGAUGGGCUGCCCUAAGCAGCCUGAGCUGGUAGAGGACAGCCAUGCCCAUGGCAGGGGGUUGGAACUGGGUGGGCUUUGGUAUCCCUCCCAGCUCUAGCCAUUCUAUGAUUCUAUGAAUUAAAAAGUGCAUUUUGGAAGUAGCUGGUAGCUUUGUGACUAUCUGCGUACAUGAGAGCUAAUAAAAUUAUUGUCACUCAGCAGCACUUGAUUGCAACCUAAUGGCCAGAACAGUUUUUCAGCCAAGAAGCAGGGAAAAAUGCCUCCUGGCAGAGCACAACUACAUACAUGGGGAAAAUAGUUGUUAUUUCAGGUGCUUAGGUUCCCAGUAGAAAAUAAGUUUAAUUAAUUUAUUUAUUUUUCUAAUUUGUGAAAAUAUGCCUACAGUGACCUCUAGGAACACGUGCAAAAGCCAUAAAACCAGAUUCAUUCAUUAACCAUCUGACACAAUGUCAAUCGUAGAUAGUCAAAUAAACAACUAACACGUGGGGAAAACUCAAACUCCUCCCUUCCAACUCUCCAUAGGAAAAAGCCUUAGAGAGUGAACACGCUUGGCAGCGUGCCUUGGGCUCCUCACUCAGUGCCUUUUUUGGGUGACAGAGAGAAUGGAGUCUGAACCGCAGCGAUGAACACUCUCAUUGCUGUUUUAUAUUCAUGCCUUUCAAUUAAAAUCCAUAAAUGUUUAUACUUUUUUCCUUUUUUUUUUUUUUAAUGUGUUACAUGGGAAAUAGGAAUGAGUUACAAAAAUGAAUAUGUAAAGCGUUUUCAUCUCUGCGAUGGGCAGAGAGCUGCAAAUUAGGGUUUCUGGCUCCUCCUCCAACCUCUGCCACUCUUCUGCUCUCUGAUCCUGGGGCAGCUACUCAUCCAGUGUGGUUGGAUGUGCAAAAUUCACUACACUGGGCUUGCCAGCUCCUUGUAAUUCAGCCUAUUGCUCUUUUGCUAAUCUUUGAAAUUCUCUUGUUGCUGUAGGAUGCUUUUAACAGUGAAAUUAUUUGAGGAAAAGUCAGGUCCACUUCAGUAAUGGAAUGAAAAAAGUAAUGGAAGGAGCCCAGGCUCUCCUUGAAGCAGCAGGGAGUAUCAGCCUCCCAUGGCUAAGUGACAGCAGCACUGAGAUCUUGGUGCUUCACACCUUUUCCAACACUUCCAUGUGACUGCAGUGACUUUGCCCUUGCCAGUGCCUUCAGUCCCUGAAGGAAGUACCUAUCUGAACCUAAAGUGCUGACUUUGCUGUGAUGCCACCAGCAACUACAGUUUUCCUCCUGCAAAAACCUCCUUAUGCAUUAUGAAACAAUAUGUGUUAUGUUUUGCUUUAUAAAUAAUCAGUUUUUGCAAACUUAUAUAUCAUCUGUGUGACAAACACUUUGUUCCAUGGUAAUGAAUACAAGUCUGUGUCCAAACAUCACGUUUAAACACCAAAAAAUAAAUAAAAAAAAAAUCCUUUGAGGCUACAACUUCAUGUUCAACAGAUGAGGUUCUGUUCAACCUGGAGCUCUGUGACUGUGAUGAACACAGAACAGCACAGGAGUAAAUCUUCCCUCUACUUUGCCCCCCCCCCCCCCGGGACAAUGUUUUCUAGAAAAGAUCAGACGGUGUUUUAAUGCCUGGGGAAAAACAGAACGUGACCCACAGUAUAUUUAGGCAGUUCCAUUUCUGCUUGCUAUUUUUAAAAGCAUAUGCGUUAUUUAAAAAUAAUUAGCUUGAGCCCAUUUAUGUACAAUGUAUAUAUUGCACAUAUGUCUAGACAGAACAAGAAACAAUGUAAUCACAACCUUACUACACUAAAGGCCUUGGCAUAAGAAACACAGACAGUGAAAGCCAAAGAGAUUUUACCUGUCAUAUGUAUUUCCCUCAUUUAAAUAUAUUAAAACAGAACAAAAAUAAACUUCUGAUGCUCAGAGUUUAACCCAGUGUAACAUAGCAGUUAUUUCAGUCUUUACUACAACAAUUAUUGAUAUUCUAUAUGUUCAUGUGCAGUAAAACGUGAGACAGAAAUCUCGAUGACUUAUUGUUCUGCAACUUCAAAUUUCAUCUGUUGUUUGUGGAAAGAAAAGGUAUCUUCAGAUAUGUACACACAUUUUUCUCUAAAUGUCUCUGCAUGGCAAGUAAGGCUGUAUGGGGCGAAAGGGCGACAGCAGGUUUUACUCUGCAAAUGUGAGCAUGUGCAUCUGCAGUCUUCUGUCCCUUUAAAAUUUAAUUAC
ensembl:lncRNA